rnacentral:rRNA from 1 species
GACGAACGCUGGCGGCGUGCUUAACACAUGCAAGUCGAACGGAAAGGCCCUGCUUUUGUGGGGUGCUCGAGUUGCUAACUUUUUAUUAACACUUGAUUAACCUGCCCUUUACUUUGUUAUAACUUCAGGAAACUGUUGCUACUACCGGAUAGGAUCUCCUUCUGCAUGGUGGGUGUUGGAACGUUUCGGCGGUUGGGUAUGGACUCGCGGCUUAUCAGCUUUUUGGUGGGGUAGUGGCUUACCAAGGCUUUGACGGGUAGCCGGACUGAGAGGGUGACCGGCAACAUUGGGACUGAGAUAAGGCACAGACUCCUACGGGAGGCAGCAGUGGGGAAUAUUGCACAAUGGGCGGAAGCAUGAUGCAGCAAAGCAGCGUGCGGGAUGACGGCCUUCGGGGUGUAAAAAGCUUUCGCCUGUGACGAAGCGUGAGUGACGGUAAUGGGUAAAGAAGCACCGGCUAACUACGUG